rnacentral:rRNA from 1 species
AGUGAACGCUGGCGGUAGGCCUAACACAUGCAAGUCGAACGGCAGCACAGUAAGAGCUUGCUCUUACGGGUGGCGAGUGGCGGACGGGUGAGGAAUACAUCGGAAUCUACUUUUUCGUGGGGGAUAACGUAGGGAAACUUACGCUAAUACCGCAUACGACCUACGGGUGAAAGCAGGGGAUCUUCGGACCUUGCGCGAUUGAAUGAGCCGAUGUCGGAUUAGCUAGUUGGCGGGGUAAAGGCCCACCAAGGCGACGAUCCGUAGCUGGUCUGAGAGGAUGAUCAGGCCACACGGAAACGGGAACACGGCCCAAACCCCAAGGGAAGCCGGAGUGGGGAAUAUUGGACCAAGGGGCGAAGCCUGAAUCCGGCCAAACCGCUGGGUGAAGAAGGGCCUUCGGUUUGAAAGGCCCUUUGGUGGGAAAAAAAAGCCGGAAGGUAAAAACCCGGCGGUUCGGACGUUACCAAAAGAAUAGGCACCGCCAAAUUUCGG